GCACAAAAUAACCUCCGAGAAUUAAAGCUAAGACUUACCCGUCUAAGCACUUUAAACUAUUGAUCCAAAUCAUUUUGAUCAACGGAAUAAGUUACCCUAGGGAUAACAGCGCAAUCCUAUUUAAGAGUUCAUAUCGACAAUAGGGUUUACGACCUCGAUGUUGGAUCAGGACACCCAAAUGGUGCAACAGCUAUUAAAGGUUCGUUUGUUCAACGAUUAAAGUCCUACGUGAUCUGAGUUCAGACCGGAGAA
rnacentral:rRNA from 1 species